CCCUUCGGGGUACACGAGCGGCGAACGGGUGAGUAACACGUGAGCAACCUGCCCCUGACUCCGGGAUAAGCGGUGGAAACGCCGUCUAAUACCGGAUACGACCCUCCACCUCAUGGUGGUGGGUGGAAAGUUUUUCGGUCGGGGAUGGGCUCGCGGCCUAUCAGCUUGUUGGUGGGGUAACGGCCUACCAAGGCGAUUACGGGUAGCCGGCCUGAGAGGGCGACCGGCCACACUGGGACUGAGACACGGCCCAGACUCCUGCGGGAGGCAGCAGUGGGGAAUAUUGCGCAAUGGGCGAAAGCCUGACGCAGCGACGCCGCGUGGGGGAUGACGGCCUUCGGGUUGUAAACCUCUUUUACCACUCACGCAGGCUCCACGUUUUCGUGGGGUUGACGGUAGGUGGGGAAUAAGGACCGGCUAACUACGUGCCAGCAGCCGCGGUAAUACGUAGGGUCCGAGCGUUGUCCGGAAUUAUUGGGCGUAAAGAGCUCGUAGGCGGCGUGUCGCGUCUGCUGUGAAAGACCGGGGCUUAACCCCGGUUCUGCAGUGGAUACGGGCAUGCUAGAGGUAGGUAGGGGAGACUGGAAUUCCUGGUGUAGCGGUGAAAUGCGCAGAUAUCAGGAGGAACACCGGUGGCGAAGGCGGGUCUCUGGGCCUUACCUGACGCUGAGGAGCGAAAGCAUGGGGAGCGAACAGGAUUAGAUACCCUGGUAGUCCAUGCCGUAAACGU
rnacentral:rRNA from 1 species